rnacentral:lncRNA from 1 species
GUAAGCGUUGUGUAACCUAGGUGUGUGUGGUGUGGUAAGCGUUGUGUAACCUAGGUGUGUGUGGUGUGGGUGUGUUAAGCGUUGUGUAACCUAGGUGUGUGUGGUGUGGGUGUAGUAAGCGUUGUGUAACCUAGGUGUGUGUGGUGUGGGUGUAGUAAGCGUUGUGUAACCUAGGUGUGUGUGGUGUGGGUGUAGUAAGCGUUGUGUAACCUAGGUGUGUGUGGUAAGCGUUGUGUAACCUAGGUGUGUGUGGUGUGGGUGUGGUAAGCGUUGUGUAACCUAGGUGUGUGUGGUGUGGGUGUGGUAAGCGUUGUGUAACCUAGGUGUGUGUGGUGUGGGUGUGUUAAGCGUUGUGUAACCUAGGUGUGUGUGGUGUGGGUGCGGUAAGCGUUGUGUAACCUAGGUGUGUGUGGUGUGUGGGUGUGUUAAGCGUUGUGUAACCUAGGUGUGUGUGGUGUGGGUGUGUUAAGCGUUGUGUAACCUAGGUGUGUGUGGUGUGGGUCCUGUUUAAUUGAUGCAGGCUGCCCAUCGAUCCCUCCCGCCCGGCCUAAUGAAGGCCUGAUUGGUUUGUGAGGGCUGGCUGGUUCUGCUCAGCUGCCUGCUGCCGGCCCCGGCCCCGCUGCACACACUAAUCCACACACACACCCUCAAUUCACCAUCACUCUUUUCUCAUGGUCUCACACUUUGUCUCUGUCUCUCUCCUCUGUAUCUCACUCUCCCUGCUCUCUCUCUUUCUACCACUGUCUGCCUUUGUCUCUACUAUUUCUCUGUUCUACCUCACUUUCCCCUUUCUUUUUAUUGGACCCGUCUAUCACAGACAUUUGACCCCAACAACACUGUGUAACAAGUCUGACACCAAGAUUUAGUCACACCCUUCUGUAAAUGUGGACACACCAGUGGCUGUCCUCUGGUAUUUGCUGUAUAUUUCU